ensembl:lncRNA
AAGCUACUGUUGUGUUCCCUCUGCUUCCUUAGGUGUGUCAUCUAGCAAUCCAAUGGAUUUACAUCCCACUGGAUCAAGAUGCUGUUUGGAUGUACUAUUUUAAAAGACACUUUUAAUGACUGAAGCUAAAUGAAAUACUUCAGAAGAGGACGACUGGUUAUCCUAAGAGAAGAUGAGGUAGGAAGGGGUGCUGACUAGGAGUUUAACGGUAUGCUAAUGACAGUAUGCUUUAAUAAGCAAAUCUAAAAUAAAUGUAAUGAUUGAUUUUCCUGUAUUCAUAUACACAAGAAUGUAACCAAAAAAUCAAAUGGUAGAAAAUUAAUACCAGAAUAAAGGCAUUCCUUUUUCUUUGCAUACUGCAUUGGUAUACCAAAUUCAUGGGGUCAUUUUGCACACCGUUGCACUCCUAGUACCAAGCAUCUCCCAUAUUUGAUACCAAGCAAUGGGGUUUAGGGAAGGGGGCUUGAGGAAGCUUUGAGGACGGUCCUUGUCGAAGUGCCUGAGAGGCCUAAGAUUCAAUGGACUGUGAUAGCAUAUUGGCCUGUUUAAAGCAAGGACGCGUCAGGUCAGGCUCCCUCCAAGCACUGCGCUACGUGUUCAAACUCGAAAGCCAUCCCAAAGAAACGGAUGUCAUGAAUCAGCCCGAGAAUAUAGAACAGCUUUAAUGCCAGCAGAAGACAUCCGAAUGCCAAGAUUUACCUCAACCUUCUCGCAAGCCUGAAGGACUCAUUGCACAAAACUGACACUGACCUCACAAGCUGAUUCAGCAGAAAGUGUGAGUGUAUGUGAGAGAGAGAUAGAAGUUGUUUCAAGUUGAACUGUGUGUAUAUGUACGAUGUUGCUGUCACUCUCAGCGCGCUCGGUGACCCGUGACGACGGACUCCGUGUCACUCCAGUCCCGCGAUGCCACACCUCAUCCCAGGUCUGUGAGAGGCACUGGCAUGAAACGGACACAGAUAAGCCUUAAAACAUGACACCGUCGAGCCCUCCCUCCACCCGGACCCCUCACCCCGCACCCCACACCCCGCACCUUGCACCUUGCACGUCCAGAGCCCCGCUUUCUGUAACAACAUCAAGUGUGUGUGUCCUGCGGAGCAGCAGUCAUGUGUUGUGUUUGUUGUCCAGCCUCUGGGGACAUGGCACUUAUCUGGAGUUUAUGAGGCGGCUGAUAGCGGAUUGCAUUAGCCACACUGAAACCUGAUAGUGGUCGGCUAAUCAGGCACUGCAGUGGGCACCUGCAUUUAAUUUCGCUAUGAAGCAUUUUGAGGUACUUUGCUGGUCAAGAAGACAGCCUCUGGUAUCCAUAUACAUUUAGGAAUAUAUAAAUUAGACUUACACGUACAGUAGAUGAAUAAUUUAUAUGUGUUUUCUUUUUUCAAAUCCGACUUUCCUAUGAUAUACAGUAAGUAGCCACAUCCUUCAUAUACAACAACAUUAAUCUUUGACAAUAUGAACAUAAAGGCUUUCAAUCAGUACAUGUAACUGUAACAGUUAGAAAGCAUUAUAAUAAACUAGUGACAGCGAAUCCAAGAUUAUGUUAGUUUUUGUUCAUUGCUGUUUUUGUAAACAGAUACUACUAAACUAAAGUCUUAUGGGGAAAAAUAAUUGCACUUAUGAUGACAAACUCAGGUUAUGUCUGAAGAUUAACAGAAUGAUCACCAGAAUCUACUGAGCACUUACAAAAUUCAUUUUUGAAAUACAUUGAUUAAGUGAAUGUUACAUAUACAAGAAUAAAUCAAUAAUUAAAGCAAAUCUGCUUUGGGUUCAUGGAAUAUUAAUGUUAAAUGACAGAGAUUCGCAUAACAAAAAGGUCUCUUGGGUUUCAAUGCUUCUGUAUUUCUAUGACGACUAAGGCUUCCAAAUCUCUUGUAGCUUCUUCUAAGACCUAGAUCGCCUGUUAUUUGUCUUCAGCCUACACAGUUUGUCAGCCUCAGCCUUUGUAGCAGGCUGGGCUAAUAGGCUAACAUAAUUCACUUCAUUGCACGGGCUCCAUGCCGAUGAAUAUAACCAAGUGGGUUGAAGAAAAGGGGGUGAAAUUCCUUAGCCUGUCCAGCAUCCGUAGCAAUCCCCAAAUGGCACUUUCACUUUGGUAUGAUGUUGUACGCUGGUUAGAAGUAAUUCAAACGACUAUUUACUGUUUGGAAAUUUUUGAAAAUGUUGUUUUGUCAUCUCAAUUGUAAGUCUGUCUUUGAAAUGACCUCAGUCAUGUCAUGCAUUGACCUUCUGAUGUUGCUGAAUGUGUUUCACUUUGGACAGUCUAACCUGCUGGUAUCAGCCUACAUAUAGGAGAUAGCCAUGAAGUUCGUCAAAAUGCUGUGAACAUGUAAUACUAUCGUUGGAGCUUGUUAGAGAUUCCUGUGUCCCAUACAUUAUCAGAAAGUGUUAAUGAAAUGUACAUUUUCCGGAGUUUGCCCAUCAUCUUUUGGCCAGAAAAGGGUGCCAUUGUUAUUUAUGUAAAAUUCAGUCAUCCGAUGUUGGCUGCUUAGUUGCAAUGUUACUUGUAAACACAUAUAUGGUAAUAUGACAGUGGAUGGGUCAGAGAUGUUUAAAACACACCUACAUGUGUAUUACAAAUAAUCUGUUGAAACACUACAUUAUAGUUGAUGGGGGAAAAAAUAUGAUGAAUGCAGCUUGGUUGACAUGAGGUUUAUGUAAUCGAGGUUGUGUCUUGAUUUUUGUAACUUUUGACUGUAUGUCUGAUAUUUAUUGAAUGAAAAGUUUUUGUGAAUGGGAAGACUGUGUGAUGCUGUAAGAUGCUGUACAAAUCAAUGCUGUAAGACUUUCAAUGACAUGUUUUCUGUAACUCAAAGGCAAAUGCAUUUCCGAUAUACAUGCGUCUCUACUGAAGCAGCCCGAUAUACAUGCGUCUCUACUGAAGCAGCCAGAGCGCACCGGCCCACAGAGCAUGACUGCUCAGAUUCUCUUUAACAGCAUGCAUGCUGUAGUAGGUAAUUGUGCUCGAUGGUGCAAUGGGAAGAGCUUGUUCAACACAAGUCCACAUAAUUUAUGCUGCACUCAUAGCAGUAUGUAACAUUUCUCCGAAAGCCUGUUAUUAAUACAGAUUAUUUUUGUAACCGGAAAGCCUAGAGAUAACAUACCAAUGUUGUUAUCAUUAAAACAAUCGCCUCACAAUUUAUUCUGUACUCUAGAUGAAAUCUGUAUUAUUUCUGUACAUUUCUGAAUAAAAAUCCUUUAUCAAGUAUCCCUGUGUCGUUUCUAACAACCACUACCACAACUGCU